rnacentral:rRNA from 1 species
AGAGUUUGAUCAUGGCUCAGAACGUACGCUGGCGGCACGCCUAAUACAUGCAAGUCGAACGAAGUAGCAAUACUUAGUGGCAGACGGGUGAGUAACAUGUAGGUAUCUUCCCAUUGGUGAGGAAUAACACGAGGAAACUUGUGCUAAUACCUCAUAAGUCUUUACGGAGAAAGCUUUAUGCGCCGAUGGAUGAGCCUGCACUUGAUUAGUUUGUUGGUAGGGUAAUGGCCUACCAAGACAAUGAUCAAUAGCUGAUUUGAGAGGAUGAUCAGCCACAUUGGGACUGAGACACGGCCCAAACUCCUACGGGAGGCAGCAGUAGGGAAUCUUGCACAAUGGGGGAAACCCUGAUGCAGCGAUGCCGCGUGAGUGAAGAAGGCCUUUGGGUUGUAAAGCUCUUUCGUCGGGGAAGAAAAUGACUGUACCCGAAUAAGAAGGUCCGGCUAACUUCGUGCCAGCAGCCGCGGUAAUACGAAGGGACCUAGCGUAGUUCGGAAUUACUGGGCUUAAAGAGUUCGUAGGUGGUUAAAAAAGUUGGUGGUGAAAUCCCAGAGCUUAACUCUGGAACUGCCAUCAAAACUUUUUAGCUAGAGUAUGAUAGAGGAAAGCAGAAUUUCUAGUGUAGAGGUGAAAUUCGUAGAUAUUAGAAAGAAUACCAAUUGCGAAGGCAGCUUUCUGGAUCAUUACUGACACUGAGGAACGAAAGCAUGGGUAGCGAAGAGGAUUAGAUACCCUCGUAGUCCAUGCCGUAAACGAUGUGUGUUAGACGUUGGAAAUUUAUUUUCUGUGUCGCAGCGAAAGCAAUAAACACACCGCCUGGGGAGUACGACCGCAAGGUUAAAACUCAAAUGAAUUGACGGGGACCCGCACAAGUAGUGGAGCAUGUGGUUUAAUUCGAAGAUACGCGCAGAACCUUACCAACACUUGACAUGUUCGUCGCGACUUUAAGAGAUUAAAGUUUUCGGUUCGGCCGGACGAAACACAGGUGCUGCAUGGCUGUCGUCAGCUCGUGUCGUGAGAUGUUGGGUUAAGUCCCGCAACGAGCGCAACCCUCACUUUUAGUUGCCAUCAUUUAGUUGGGCACUCUGAAAGAACUGCCAGUGAUAAGCUGGAGGAAGGUGGGGAUGACGUCAAGUCCUCAUGGCCCUUACGUGUUGGGCUACACACGUGCUACAAUGGCAUUUACAAUAGGAAGCAAGACGGCGACGUUAAGCAAAUCCUAAAAAAAUGCCUCAGUUCGGAUUGUACUCUGCAACUCGAGUACAUGAAGCUGGAAUUACUAGUAAUCGCGGAUCAGCGCGCCGCGGUGAAUACGUUCCGCGGGUCUUGUACACACCGCCCGUAU